rnacentral:rRNA from 1 species
CUGCUCAGGACGAACGCUGGCGGCGUGCCUAAUACAUGCAAGUCGAGCGGACAGAUGGGAGCUUGCUCCCUGAUGUUAGCGGCGGACGGGUGAGUAACACGUGGGUAACCUGCCUGUAAGACUGGGAUAACUCCGGGAAACCGGGGCUAAUACCGGAUGGUUGUUUGAACCGCAUGGUUCAAACAUAAAAGGUGGCUUCGGCUACCACUUACAGAUGGACCCGCGGCGCAUUAGCUAGUUGGUGAGGUAACGGCUCACCAAGGCAACGAUGCGUAGCCGACCUGAGAGGGUGAUCGGCCACACUGGGACUGAGACACGGCCCAGACUCCUACGGGAGGCAGCAGUAGGGAAUCUUCCGCAAUGGACGAAAGUCUGACGGAGCAACGCCGCGUGAGUGAUGAAGGUUUUCGGAUCGUAAAGCUCUGUUGUUAGGGAAGAACAAGUACCGUUCGAAUAGGGCGGUACCUUGACGGUACCUAACCAGAAAGCCACGGCUAACUACGUGCCAGCAGCCGCGGUAAUACGUAGGUGGCAAGCGUUGUCCGGAAUUAUUGGGCGUAAAGGGCUCGCAGGCGGUUUCUUAAGUCUGAUGUGAAAGCCCCCGGCUCAACCGGGGAGGGUCAUUGGAAACUGGGGAACUUGAGUGCAGAAGAGGAGAGUGGAAUUCCACGUGUAGCGGUGAAAUGCGUAGAGAUGUGGAGGAACACCAGUGGCGAAGGCGACUCUCUGGUCUGUAACUGACGCUG